rnacentral:lncRNA from 1 species
UCUGUUUAUUUCAGAUGAGGGUAAGUAUCAAGGAGCACGUCGUGUGUGAGUGCAUCCUUGAAGUUUUCUGUAGUACUGUUUUUGGUAAUUUCAGGGGUUAGUUUGUUCCAGUCUUUGAUGGUUUGACAGAAAAAAAGAAAAUUUAUAGCUGUCUUUAUUGCAAUGAAUUUGUCUGUAGGAUUCUUUAUUGGUGGAUCUUGUAGUAGACUGACUCUGUUGUAAUACAUUUUGCGAUGGAAUGGCUAUAUUUUCAUUUACAAUUUUGUGGAACAUUAUAAGCCUUGUUCGUAGUCGGCGUUCUUGUAAUGUUUGCCAUUUCAUGGUAUCUAGCAUCUCAGACACACUGCUGGUGUUGUGAUGUCUAUUGCACACAUACCUUGCUGCCCGUCUUUGUACUUUUUCCAGUGAUUUUAUAUUUUCGUUUGUAAAUGGGUCCCAUACAGUACAACAGUAUUCCAACUUUGGUCUUAUGAGUGUUUGGUACGCUCUUUCUUUAAUUGUUUGCGAUUGGACUUUAAGGUUUCUUCUGAUGAAACCUAAGGAUUUAUUUGCUUUUGCAGCAGUUUGUUGGAUGUGGGUGUUCCAUUUUAGGUCUGCUGAGAUGGUGAUACCUAAGUAUUUUG